GACUCUGUAAUACUCUCCUUUCUCAUCUUUACUUCUUAGUUUCACUGGUUUCCUCCAAGACUCAUCUUAGACCUCACCUUCGAAAGGAAGUCUUUUGUAGUUCCCCUCAGCCAGCAAACCCUUCAGCCUGAAGUUCUCAACUCUCUGGACUUUCAUCUAUCACCAGAUUCAAAUUUAUCUCUUAAUAUGCACAAGGUCCUGGAGACAAAAAGAAAUAACAGCCUUUUCACGAAGGAACCUGCAUUCUAAUGAAGGAUAUUACAUGUCACCAGUGAUAAGAUGUGAUGUGCUGGAAAGAAUGCUGAAUUUGGAAGAAGUCCUGUGUUCAAAUCUCAAGCUCUGCUAUAUAUUACUUGUGUUACUUUGGGUUGUUCCUCAAGACUGGAAAACAUACCUUCACUUCAACCUUUCAGAUUCCUUAGCAUCCUUCAAGACUCAGUUCAAGUUCCCCUUAUUAGAUAAGGAAGUAAAAAAUAAUAGGGAAAAUAUGACUUCGUCAAAGUCACACGAUGGACCAGGGACAUAGAUGAGGACAGGAUCCGAAUCUCCUGGCAAUUAGAUUUGCUCUUCUUCCAUUUCAUCAUAUUCUGUACAUUCUGAGCACUACCACUUUGGACCAAAAUUAUUCAGCUUUCAGAGAAAAUCAAGAAGAAAAAUGAGAUUUUACCAUGGCUACCCCUUCUAAUUGCAUAGUGAGAAGGGCUAGGUUUCUCACAUUGCCAACUUCAUAGGUGAUGUCUGCAGGCUAUCCACCAGCCCAGGACCAGAAUUCUAAAUACUAUAAGUCUUGACAUAGUUUUUGUGAUGGUGAUGAUGAUGAAGAUGACGAUGACAAUGAGGACAGCUCCUUUUAGAAAUCAUUCUAAGUUUACAAAGCAUUUUGAUUACAAUGGCCUUUCAAGGUGGGUGGUAUAGUUCAGUAUCACUUUUUUAUGUCACUCACACUAUCCACUGACUUUCCCUCUCAUUUUAGAAUGUCUUCCCUCUGGUAACAAAUAAAUACAAUUCAGCAAAACA
rnacentral:lncRNA from 1 species